UACGUAGGGUGCAAGCGUUGUCCGGAAUUAUUGGGCGUAAAGAGCUCGUAGGCGGUUUGUCGCGUCUGCUGUGAAAACGCGAGGCUCAACCUCGCGCCUGCAGUGGGUACGGGCAGACUAGAGUGCGGUAGGGGAGAUUGGAAUUCCUGGUGUAGCGGUGAAAUGCGCAGAUAUCAGGAGGAACACCGAUGGCGAAGGCAGGUCUCUGGGCUGUAACUGACGCUGAGGAGCGAAAGCAUGGGGAGCGAACAGG
rnacentral:rRNA from 1 species